UGGGGAAUUUUGGACAAUGGGCGCAAGCCUGAUCCAGCCAUGCCGCGUGUCUGAAGAAGGCCUUCGGGUUGUAAAGGACUUUUGUCAGGGAAGAAAAGGGCGGGGUUAAUACCCCUGUCUGAUGACGGUACCUGAAGAAUAAGCACCGGCUAACUACGUGCCAGCAGCCGCGGUAAUACGUAGGGUGCGAGCGUUAAUCGGAAUUACUGGGCGUAAAGCGGGCGCAGACGGUUACUUAAGCAGGAUGUGAAAUCCCCGGGCUCAACCUGGGAACUGCGUUCUGAACUGGGUGACUAGAGUGUGUCAGAGGGAGGUAGAAUUCCACGUGUAGCAGUGAAAUGCGUAGAGAUGUGGAGGAAUACCGAUGGCGAAGGCAG
rnacentral:rRNA from 1 species